rnacentral:rRNA from 1 species
UACGAAGGGGGCUAGCGUUGCUCGGAAUCACUGGGCGUAAAGGGUGCGUAGGCGGGUUUUUAAGUCAGGGGUGAAAUCCUGGAGCUCAACUCCAGAACUGCCUUUGAUACUGAAGAUCUUGAGUCCGGGAGAGGUGAGUGGAACUGCGAGUGUAGAGGUGAAAUUCGUAGAUAUUGGGAAGAACACCGGUGGCGAAGGCGGCGCUCUGGACCGAGACUGACGCUGAGGCGCGAAAGCGUGGGGAGCAAACAGG